GUUGGCUGCUGGCAGCACUUUGCAGGCUGCGUGGCCCGCAGGAGGGGUGUGGGCCCCGUUACCCCCCCAGUCCUGGCCGCCCUCUGCGAACUCAGUGCAACUAACUCCCUCACUUUUCUGGGGUUUUCCUCCCCGCCCUUGAUUUAGUGGAGGGCGAGGCUUGGAUCUUAGGGUGGGAAAGACUUCAUACAAUUUGCACUUGAAAAGAGGAAGUGAGAAAAAAGAAAAAGAAACACAAAGAGAGGCCCAGCCAGCUGUUUCCUACAGACGGAGGACCACCCCGCAGCUGUUCGCUGCCCUCCCGCCCCUGGGAACCGGCUCCCACCUCAGCCCCGGCCCAUCCGGACAGGGUCACCCGGCCGCUGUCCCUUCUCUUCCAAGGCGAAGAAGGUGACACUCGGACAUGUGUCCACGGCAUCAUGACUCCAGGGCCUGUCCUCUCCACCAAGGAUGUCAGACCGUCUUCCCGGGCGCCACGUGCUUGUCAAAAACAGAUUCCCCGGGUGGCCUGGGCUGGCCUGGUGCAGGAGCCGGAGUAGAGCCCCAGCAGGUGUCCCCUCGCUGCCCCCCCCCCCUUGCCUCCCAGUCCCAGCUCUGAGGAACCUGUCCCUCCCGGGGUCCUUGGAACACUCUGUUCUCGCCGCCUCCACGGCAGGAAACACACUGUGCGAAAAUCAGCUGAUGUUACGUCUGUGUCGCUGGGGAAUUACUGGAUUUCCAGGAUCCUGUCCCGCUUUUUCACUUCCUCUCGGAUGGCUUCUUCCACCGAUCUUUCCACAGCUUGGAAACAUCUGCUCUGUGGGCCUCCACUUACAAGUUCCCUCCUCAGAGAAACCUUUUCUGAUGACCUUCAGAAUUAAUUAAGAAGGCCGUCACUCACUCACCAUCAAACUACUCAAUUGCAUCAUCUAGCACCAAGCACGGAGCUUCCCACACGUAGGUCCUCAACUGGGACUUAAUUAUCCAGAGGCAGAUGAAGCACAUUCUUGGGGCACCAGAAAAACAGACAUACCAAACAUUUUUUUAAACAUGUUGACAUGCGCUUAUAUUCGUAUACUAUAGAAGUCAUAUGAAAAUAAAAUUAGGAUCUUGCUGGCCUCCGUUCCACUUA